rnacentral:rRNA from 1 species
UACGUAGGGGGCUAGCGUUGUCCGGAAUCAUUGGGCGUAAAGCGCGCGUAGGCGGCCCGGUAAGUCCGCUGUAAAAGUCAAAGGCUCAACCUUUGAAUGUCAGUGGAUACUGCCGGGCUAGAGUCCGGAAGAGGAGAGUGGAAUUCCUGGUGUAGCGGUGAAAUGCGCAGAUAUCAGGAAGAACACCCGUGGCGAAGGCGGCUCUCUGGGACGGUACUGACGCUGAGACGCGAAAGCGUGGGGAGCGAACAGG